AAUUAUUAUAAAAUGGUGGGAAAAGAGUUAUCAAACACAAAUGAUGUACAAUAUACAAUACAGCAUAUGGAUGAAAGUGAACAGCAGCAGGAAGUUGAGCGAGGAGGAAGUUCCUGUGUGUGUUUGUGACUGAUCUGCAGUGACUUACAGCUCAAGCACUGAGAGCCUCAACAGAGAACUGAUCUGAUCUGAUUCAACAUGGACACAUGCUUCAUACUGAUUCUCAUUGUGGGAACAGGUUUGGUGACUGGAGACAACAUUGAGCCAGAUACAGAGAGAGAAAAAAACACUAAAGAAACAGAAACUGUCAAGAUGAGCUGCUCAUAUAGUACAAAUGGUGAAUAUGUUCUGCUUUACUGGUACAGACAAUAUCCAAACAAAGAACCUCAAUAUUUAUUACGCAAAGGAGCUCGAUCAUGGAGUGGUUCUUAUGAUCACAGCUCUGAUAGUCGGUUUCAGUCGACUGCAUCACGAACAUCCACUGAACUCACUAUUACUGAUGUACGUCUGUCAGAUUCAGCUCUCUAUUAUUGUGCUCUAAGAGUUGGAGCCCAGUGAUACAAAACAUGAAACACGUCGUACAAAAACCUGAAGCUCUUUUCACUUUGAACCGAUCUAGUGAAAACCACAAUCAAAACCACAAUCUAUCCAGCCCCAAAUGUAAUAAAAUAUGUGCUAACACCUGUGUGAGACUGAAUUAGGCCUUUGAUAUGAGGCUUAUAUUAUAAAUUGCAGAAAAGAAGCAUUAACAUCAUGACCAGAUAUCAUAUUCCACAUGUUCAAACCACUUUUCUUAUGGCCAUAAAAUCUGCAGUUUUUAAAGUAAUAUUGUUACACAUGGUUGCAAACGAAAGAGAAAUGCUGGAUCUAAGUGCAGCAGAAAAAAAGUUUAACAAAAACACUCUUCACUAUAAAACAAGAACUGAACAACCAACAAAACACAACAGAGAACUGACCAAGAACAGACUGAAACACACGGCUGAAAUACACUGAUCAAACACAGGAACUGAUUGGAUGAUUAUCAAGACACACCUGAACUCAAACUCUAAUCAAAUCAGAAAUCAUGAUACAAACAGGCAGAGGACAGAACUAAAACACAGAACAAGAAAACCAACCUAGAAUGAAACAAUGAACAGAAACAGAUCAAAAACAAACUCUAAACAUGAACAACUCAAAACGUGACAAAUAUAAUGUUUCUUAAAUGUUUCUCUGGCAUAAACAUCAGUU